rnacentral:pre_miRNA from 1 species
UCUAGAUUUCUCGUGCUCUCUCACCCGUCAGAGUGACGAGAGAGUGUGUGAAAUGAAGAGA